rnacentral:rRNA from 1 species
UACAGAGGGUGCGAGCGUUAAUCGGAAUUACUGGGCGUAAAGUGUGCGCAGGCGGCCGCGCAAGUCGAGUGUGAAAGCCCCGGGCUUAACUUGGGAAUUGCGCUCGAAACUACGUGGCUAGAGUGUGGCAGAGGGAGGUGGAAUUCCACGCGUAGCGGUGAAAUGCGUAGAGAUGUGGAGGAACACCGAUGGCGAAGGCAGCCUCCUGGGCCAACACUGACGCUCAUGCACGAAAGCGUGGGGAGCAAACAGG